UAAAGAUGCAAAGAAAGGUAAUGUUGAAGCAAGGACAGAAAAAUUGACUUGAGGAAAGUUAAGCAAAGAAGUGCAGUAAAAGUAAUAAAAGUGGUUUAGGCAAGCAGGGGCAGCUACAGCUUACAUGAUUCAUAGAUGAAAAACCCUGACAGCAUCUCAUUAGAAACUCAGAUUUAAAUCAGCAUCACCAUUAAGGCCAGUCCAGGCACUUAUUUUUGAAAGUUUUCUUGAAAGUGGAGUGCAGUCAAGUGACAUUUGAUUGGAAAAAAAUGACAUUCAUGAAGUUCAUAUCCAGACCCAUUAUAUUCUCAAGAGAGGUUGAGACAAGAAAGCUACUAUUGAAUCAACCAAAUACAGAAUCUCCACUGCUCAUGAAACAGCGACUCAAAAGUGACACUACUUCCUCCCAUCCUAACGUCUCAAGUGGAUACCAGUACUCCCCCCUAAGAUUUGACAAAUUGAUAGUAGCACCUCCACUGGCCAUGCAUCUGAACUUCAAGAGCCAUUUCACUCCUUUACCCUCUACCUUGCCUCUAAGUGGAGUCAAACCCUGGAUGACACAGCAAGUUGCCUGGAAUAAUAUCUUUGCCCUCAGAACCCUGGAAUUCGAAGCAGCCUCAAGCAUGUUUCUUCUGAAACUGUGAUUUCAGCCUAAUAGGAGCAGAGUGAUUUUGCACAAAAACCAACACUCAUCAACUGCACCAUCAUACAUAGGUGUUGAGGUUGAUCUGUCAGUUCAGGAAGAGGAAACAAUAACUUCAUUAGAAAGAAAUUCCCUUUUCUCUCUUUUUUUUUCUCAGCAAUAGCUAAAACAGUUUUCAUUUUAAUGUUGGGUUGGGUAUUAUAACAUUUAAUCAAUUUAGAAUCCACAAAACAAAGAUGAACCUGCUAAACUAUUUUCUCUGAACGCCUGUUUCCCAAAUCAUUAAUAUUUCAUCCAUCAUUAAUCAAAGCAGUGUAUACUGUACAUAUUGCACUUCAUACAUACUCAUAUAUUAAAAAGAACAUUUGCACUAUUAAAAAGAAAACUUGCAAUACUUUUUUACUUUUUCAGUAGCAUAUGAUCUGCUGUUGGAUGAUGCACUUUCAAAGGACACUUUCUCUUUGUAUAAUGUAACCAGAUAUUUAUGUGCAAUUAUGAUUAUUAUUAUUAUUUUUCUCACCAGAAACGUUAACUUUGUACUUAGGUUAUCAUCUUGAACAGGUGUGAAAUAUCUGCCCUAUAAAGAAAGAGAGGAUUGUUUAUUUUAAUCUUAUCUUUAAGCAGAUCAUUUUGUUUUGAAUCAAACUAUAUAUGCAUUAAUUAUUAUGGGCCAUGUUACAUUUGACAGUGAAGAAAAUUCACUGUUUCCUUAUUCAGUCCACAUUUUCUAGCCCUGUUUAAAUUAAUUUUAUUAAAUUGUUUGUGUUUAAAGAGACUAUUCAACAAGUUUAAUAAAGAAAACCUACAUAACAUGAGGAACUUUCCCACAUAAAUACCUUUGGACUUAAGUCACCAACUGUGAAUAACGGCCCUCGGUUAUUA